CCCUUAGAUGUUCUGGGCCGCACGCGCGCUACACUGUUCGACGCAGCGAGUCUUAACCUUGACCGAAAGGUUUGGGUAAUCUUCAGCAAAGUCGAACGUGAUGGGGAUCGAUCAUUGCAAUUACUGAUCGUGAACGAGGAAUUCCUAGUAAGUGCAAGUCAUCAGCUUGCGCUGAUUACGUCCCUGCCCUUUGUACACACCGCCCGUCGCUACUACCGAUUGAAUGGUUUAGUGAGAUCUCUGGAUUGACGCUGGCUAGGAGGCGACCCUUGGCCAGACUGUUGAGAAACUGCUCAAACUUGAUCAUUUAGAGGAAGUAAAAGUCGUAACA
rnacentral:rRNA from 1 species